AAGUUCUGCUGCUGCUGUUCCGUUGAAUGGCUUGCGACAGUUCUUUGUUGCCAAGUUCCACAUUUUGGGUAGCUUCAACUGCCUGCUCAUAUAAAAGCUCUAUCUGUUGGGCCUGUUGCAAAACAUGAGUAGACAUGAGAUGGUUUAACGCAGACAUUUCCACCAUCUUUGUUUCUGUUUCUUGAACAGAAUCCAGGAGACUGUUCAGCUCUACCUGUAGGGCACGUGUUUCAUCAUCCAAAAGUUGUUCUUGGACUCUUAUAGGCGCUGCUUGUGUAUCGGGGUCCCCGAGACCCUCAGAGUCCCUUUUCAUGUUGGGGUCCAAAUUACUAGAAACAGAGGUCUCUGCAGCAUUUGAUUUGGUAGUGUUCUUACGUUUCCUUCUUGGUGUCACUCGGUUAAUAGCAUCUUGAAACCGUAUUGCCCGCAAUUGGUCAAAUUGUGAUGUGACAGAGUGAAGCUUUUCACUUAAAAUCAAAACCACUCCAUGCUUGUGUGCUAUAGUAUCAGCAUUCAAAUUGUCACCCUUCAAACCAAGCCAUCCCUUUGAAUUUGCAUCUUCCUCGUUUAUACUAUUUCUGAGAACAUCUAUCUGCUCUUUGCAUGAUUUUACAAAAAUAGUAACUUCAUGCUCAAUGCUAUCCCUCUCUUGUUCCGUUGUACGGUGCAGAUCAACAUAAUCCUUCUUGUGUUUCAUCAAAAAUUGUUCCAAAGUCCCAAUACUCUCUAGCGUUUUAAGCGCAGCUCUGGUGAAUCCUGACUUUUGCCGAGGUUUAUGCAUGAUAAAAGAUGCCAAUAAGGCAGCAGUCUUAGACUCAUCAUAUCCCAAAGACAAUGCUGAUCGAUGUGCAACAUCUUUAAAAUCUUCCGUUCUGUCUCUAACUUUUGACAUUCCUUCAAAUUCCAGGAGAAAAAUAAGAAGAUUUUUCCCAAUCAAAUGAUGUAAUAUGGUAUAUCCCAGCAGAAAACCUAAGAUAUUCUUCCUCCCGCUCACAAAUCUCAAAUUAGAACAAUCCUUCAGAUUCCGAAUUAGACAAACAAGCCCGGAACAACUGAAAACAGACCGAAAAUCCUUGCCGGCAGAUUGAACCGCGACCGGCAAAGUACUGGUAGUUCACGGCAGCAUCGGUGGCGAGAUCACAUUCGUGGUGCCGUGAGGUUUCUGAGCAAAUCCUGUUUCCCUUCCCCUGUAAUUUUAAGGAGAAA
rnacentral:misc_RNA from 1 species